rnacentral:rRNA from 1 species
GCCCCGGCUAACUACGUGCCAGCAGCCGCGGUAAUACGUAGGGGGCGAGCGUUAUCCGGAUUCAUUGGGCGUAAAGCGCGCGUAGGCGGCCUUCUAAGUCAGAAGUCAAAUGCGGGAGCUCAACUUCCGUCUGCUUUUGAUACUGGGAGGCUCGAGUCUGGCAGGGGAAGGUGGAAUUCCCAGUGUAGCGGUGGAAUGCGCAGAUAUUGGGAAGAACACCGGUGGCGAAGGCGGCCUUCUGGGCCACGACUGACGCUGAGGCGCGAAAGCUAGGGGAGCGAACAGGAUUAGAUACCCUGGUAGUCCUAGCCGUAAACGAUGGACACUAGGUGUGGGGGACCAGAUCCUCCGUGCCGUAGCCAACGCAUUAAGUGUCCCGCCUGGGGGAGUACGGUCGCA